rnacentral:piRNA from 1 species
UAGGAGCCUCUGUAAUGCCGUCCGCCCU